CCUGUGAGUUAUUAGUAAUAUGAAUUAGUGUGCAUUGAUUCCUGAGCCAGGCUGAUCUUCUGGAAUCCCUAGAGAGAGCUUUGAAAAUGCACAUUUCUGAAUCUUACACAAAUACAUGGAAUUGGAGCCUGAGGGACAUGUCUGGACCCCAUGUUUAGAAGCUUACCAGGGGACACUGAUCCAGCCAGCCCGGCUCGCAUCUGCACACCAGCCCUGGGACAGCAUGCCUGCCCUUGUUGCUCUGGCGUGGGGUCAGGAUACAUCCUAAGCUCUAAUUCUGGGGACACAGUGAUCUUGUGAUGGUGCUGUUUCAGGGAGAAGGGAGAUGCCUGGAGUGAAGAGCGGGUGUGAUGGCUCCUCCCAGCAUCUCUGAGCUGCCUGUACUGGGAAGCCAGGAGGAUGAACCAACUGACCACUUUGUGAACUACUGGAUCCUUCCUUACCGGGACUGUGCAGUAUUUAAUGACUCAACUCCGGAUGUUUCCUUUCCACUGAUGUCAGUUUAUAGAGCAGCUCUCAAGCGAAUGUUUGUGCAGAAAGGAAAGAGGUCCCCGCCAGCAGGAGUCUGUGAUUAAAUGGAGACACAGAUGCUGCCUUCUGCAGCUUAUACAUGUGAAACGACGGAGAAAGUCUGCAGGACGCUUUCGUCAUCAGAAAGG
rnacentral:lncRNA from 1 species